CUCUAAGCAAGUCAAUAUGCUUUCUGCACCCCACCAUUCCUCUCUGCUUCUAAGGCCAUUUUAUAUGUCUCCUAUGAUGUUCCCACCCUCUUGGCCAAAGGCAUUGAUCUUUCUCAGGUCUUCCUGAGAAAUUCUUUCCAAACCUAACCCCCACCCCAUUCAGAUAAAAUAUGUGUUUUCAAAUGUAUGAGUAUCUGUUUUUUCAGCACCAAACUGUAAAUCCCUAAGAUAUGUUGGCACCUUCUCACAGGCUCCCUAUACUGGACUCAUGAAUCAACAUCAUUGCUCUGUGAUAUCUAUGCAAAGUGUCCCCUUGGGGGUUUGACCUGGAGACUGAUUGCUCACUAUGACAUGAGUUGACCACCAGGGGGCGGUGCAGAACAAAGGACGGCUCCAGCCAGCAGUCGGAAGGCCCCAAUUGGCCUUGAUGGCCAGCCAGGCCUAGGGACCCUACCUAUGCACGAAUUUCGUGCACUGGGCCUCUAGUAUUAAUAUAUUACGGAUCCUGUGCUCAAAUAUGUUUGGAAAAUAAUACUGCUCUAUGUCAUGUCCUUCCAAAAAUGUUGAGAAAUAACAAUAUAUGUUUCAUAAAAUAUA